AAGCCCUGAGGUGGAUUACCAUAUUGAAUUGCAAGUUCAAAGAAGCAGCUUCAACCCUGCCGGGGCUU
rnacentral:tRNA from 1 species